GCGCCAAUAGUCUAAUGGAAGGACGUCGGCUUCCCAAGCCGAAAAUUCGGGUUCGAAUCCCGAUUGGCGCA
rnacentral:tRNA from 1 species